AGCUGAGACUAAGAAAAAUAUCUGCUGAGAUUUAAGCCAAAAAAACCCUGCAUGGCUCUCUGAUAAAAUAAAGCGAUUGCUACAGUUAUCCAUAUGAAGUACUCUGGUUCUGAGUCUUGCUGCUUAUGGGAGGCUGUUAGAAAAUAAAGGCAAUAACCUGAGACUUUGAGGGACAAGUAAGAGAAAAGACUGCAUGGGACUGACACUUUGAUUUGGGCUUGAAUAAUAAUGUGUCAGAAUAGGGGAUACUAUGCCAGAAGCUAGUCCCACAUGAAAUGCUGAAGGCCAACAGCUGGAGCUGGUUAACAUUUGUAUCCCUAUUCUCCUGUUUCUUCCUUGAUAACUUUGAUUUUGGUUUAUGCAAUUAGCCUGGGUAAUAAAGAAGUUUUACCUCUUUCCCAGGAGGGUCA